AAUAAGUACAGUUUUACACUAUUCAUCUUCAACGUUUGACCGUUCGUCUUAUUUAAAACUUUUUUAUGAUUAUUAUUUUUAUUGUUAUUAGAUGAUAAAACAUGAAUAGUACUUUAUGUGUGACUAUUUUUUUAAAAAAAUUUUAUAAUUUUUUCAAAUAAGACGGAGAGUCAAACGUUGAACACGGAUUUCGACGACUGCAUUUAUU
rfam:Oryza glumipatula chromosome 1, whole genome shotgun sequence.